UGGCUGAAGUAGAUGUAAGCUUUUAGUUUAGAGGUUACAAAAUAUGGCAGAAGUAGAUGUUAGCUUUUAGUUUAGACGUUACAAAAUAUGGCAGAAGUAGAUGUUAGCUUUUAGUUUAGAGGUUACAAAAUAUGGCAGAAGUAGAUGUUAGCUUUUAAUUUAGAGGUUACAAAAUAUGGCUGAAGUAGAUGUAAGCUUUUAGUUUAGAGGUUACAAAAUAUGACUGAAGUAGAUGUUAGGUUUUAGUUUAGAGGUUACAAAAUAUGGCUGAAGUAGAUGUAAGCUUUUAGUUUAGAGGUUACAAAAUAUGGCUGAAGUAGAUGUAAGCUUUUAGUUUAGAGGCUA
rnacentral:sRNA from 1 species